CUAAGGAUAAACUAAGUAACGAAGACGUUAAGAAAUCCGUAUGAAAAUAGGGGACGGCCAGAAAAUCCUGAUUUUCUAGGACGGCCAUCUUUUUCCUAGGAAUUUAGUCUGAGUACAAUUACUUAGUAACGGAAGCACGUUUUGGAAUCGUUAUUUAGUUUUCAGAGGUUUUGUGGGGCCUUAGCUCAGCUGGGAGAGCGCCUGCUUUGCACGCACGAGGUCAGCGGUUCGAUCCCGCUAGGCUCCAUUAGGAUACGGAGUUCAACUAUUCUCAAAGAGCAGUGCCCCAUUAUCUUAAGCGGCAACGACGUUGCCAAUUGUUCAUUGAAAAUUGAAUAUCUAUCAAAUAGUAACAAGAAAAUAAACCGAAACGCUGUAAAUAUUUUAAAGAGACCAAAGAGAAAUAA
rnacentral:tRNA from 1 species